UACGUAGGUGGCAAGCGUUACUCGGAAUCACUCGGCGUAAAGCGCAGGUAGGCGGUUUGGUAAGUCUUUUGUGAAAGCUCCCGGCUCAACUGGGAGAGGUCAAAGGAAACUACUAGGCUAGAGUGUGGUAGGGGAUACUGGAAUUCCUGGUGUAGCGGUGAAAUGCGUAGAUAUCAGGAGGAAUACCUAUGGCGAAAGCAGGUAUCUGGGCCAUCACUGACGCUGAGCUGCGAAAGCUAGGGGAGCAAACAGGA
rnacentral:rRNA from 1 species